GCCUGAGUGGCUCAGUCGGUUGAGCACCCGACUUCGGCUCAGGUCAUCAGCUCACGGUUCGUGAGUUCGAGCCCCGCAUCGGGCU
rnacentral:tRNA from 1 species